GACGAACGCUGGCGGCGUGCUUAACACAUGCAAGUCGAGCGGUAAGGCCCUUUCGGGGUACGACGAGCGGCGAACGGGUGAGUAACACGUGGGUGACCUGCCCUCAGCUCUGGGAUAAGCCUGGGAAACUGGGUCUAAUACUGGAUAUGACUCCACGGUGCAUGUCGUGGGGUGGAAAGCCUUGUGCGGCUGAGGAUGGGCCCGCGGCCUAUCAGCUUGUUGGUGGGGUGAUGGCCUACCAAGGCGACGACGGGUAGCCGGCCUGAGAGGGCGACCGGCCACACUGGGACUGAGACACGGCCCAGACUCCUACGGGAGGCAGCAGUGGGGAAUCUUGCGCAAGUGGGCGAAAGCCUGACGCAGCGACGCCG
rnacentral:rRNA from 1 species